rnacentral:lncRNA from 1 species
UAUGUGAUUGGUCACGGCCGAAUAUAUAAGCCAGAGCGCGCGGCAAUAAAGCGGCAGUUCCUGUUACCAACAAGAACAUCCUCUGUCUCAUUGGGGGGCUGCGCUGGUCAACUGGUGGCCUGUACAGGGAACCCCUCUCUCUCCGAUGGAACAGAGACGUUAACAGGACCACACAGCCAAGGCCUAUGCAGGACCCAGAGCCUGAGAGGACCUGAGCACUGCUCUUCAAAUACCUCCUGAGGAAGGGAGCGGAGAGCCAUAAUCUCCACACAGCACAUGCAGAAAAGGCCAUUGGUGGCUCUGAAGAU